UACGUAGGGAGCGAGCGUUAUCCGGAUUCAUUGGGCGUAAAGCGCGCGUAGGCGGCUUGUUAAGCCAGGUGUCAAAUCCAGAGGCUCAACCUCUGUCCGCACUUGGAACUGGCAGGCUUGAGUCUGGUAGAGGAAGAUGGAAUUCCCAGUGUAGCGGUGAAAUGCGCAGAUAUUGGGAAGAACACCGGUGGCGAAGGCGGUCUUCUGGGCCACGACUGACGCUGAGGCGCGAGAGCUGGGGGAGC
rnacentral:rRNA from 1 species